rnacentral:lncRNA from 1 species
AGAGCCCAUGCAUAAACCAUUUGGUUUUGCAAUUAAAAACAGGUUUGGCUUCCCUCUGCAUCAGUAAGACAACGUCAAAGCAACACUCGUCCUGAAAAUUUUCCCUUGUGAAUUCAAAUGAACUAACUACUUGAUAAAAAUACUAUUGCUAAAAACACCGUGCACCUUGGAGACAGGACACAGAGACAUCAAGCUGGAGCUGAGCUGGAAGGUAUCCACACUGACUAGCUUUCGUACAGGGAAACUAGAACAACUGAUCAGCUUUGGUUUCUCAAAGUCUUUUCCAAAGGAUCUGCAGAGACCCCUUUCUGCUGUACCAACACAAUGGUGUUUCCCGGCUCCCCCUCCUCAUCAUGGCCCUUCAUCACUGCCCAGCCUCUAAGGUUCUGCACUUUCAUACACGCUGCCAUUUGGCUUGACCCUUCAAGAAGUCCUGCAUACCUGAUGGAUUUAAAAAAGAGUAUCAUAUCAUCAAAGAUCUCCUGGGCAUUUACUGAUUUCCUUAGAGCUUCUAAUUCAAAAUUCCGAGAUGUUUGUAUCGUUUGGGGUGUUGAUGUUUGUUUUGUCUUUGAAACAGUGUCUCUCUAAGCAGCCCAGGUGAGCCUUGCACUUGUCAUCCUUCUGCCUUUUUCUCUCAAGUGCUUGGAUUACAGGCAUGUCCGACUAUAUGAAGCUUGUCUAUG